rnacentral:rRNA from 1 species
UACGGGGGGGUAAGCGUUGUUCGGAAUUAUUGGGCGUAAAGAGCGUGUAGGCUGCCAGGUAGGUCCGGUGUGAAAACUCGAGGCUUAACCUCGAGAUGUCAUCGGAAACCAUCUGGCUAGAGUCCGGAAGAGGAAAGUGGAAUUCCUGGUGUAGCGGUGAAAUGCGCAGAUAUCAGGAAGAACACCAAUGGCGAAAGCAGCUUUCUGGGACGGUACUGACGCUGAGACGCGAAAGCGUGGGGAGCGAACAGG